rnacentral:lncRNA from 1 species
UUUGGAUCCAUGUCUUUGAUAUUGUGCUUUGUUCUUGGAUGGCAUGAAGGUGGUAUUCGAGGGGAGUGUAGGUCCUAUGAAUCUUUGCUUUUAUAUUGCCAUGCCCUAGGAUUUACAUGCUUUAGAUCAAGCACUUGGACUAUGUUUGGAUUAGAUCUUAAACUUGCAUUCUCUUGACUAGGCAUGUCCUUAUUUAGAUGGUACUUGUGAUCCUCA